rnacentral:rRNA from 1 species
CCUACGGGCGGCAGCAGUGGGGAAUAUUGCACAAUGGGGGAAACCCUGAUGCAGCGACGCCGCGUGAGUGAAGAAGUAUUUCGGUACGUAAAGCUCUAUCAGCAGGGAAGAAAAUGACGGUACCUGACUAAGAAGCCCCGGCUAACUACGUGCCAGCAGCCGCGGUAAUACGUAGGGUGCAAGCGUUAUCCGGAUUUACUGGGUGUAAAGGGAGCGUAGACGGCAGCGCAAGUCUGGAGUGAAAUCCCAUGGCUUAACCAUGGAACUGCUUUGGAAACUGUGCAGCUAGAGUGCAGGAGAGGUAAGCGGAAUUCCUAGUGUAGCGGUGAAAUGCGUAGAUAUUAGGAGGAACACCAGUGGCGAAGGCGGCUUACUGGACUGUAACUGACGUUGAGGCUCGAAAGCGUGGGGAGCAAACAGGAUUAGAUACCCCGGUAGUC